GAUGAACGCUGGCGGCGUGCCUAAUACAUGCAAGUCGAACGAGGUGCCUUUGUAGCAAUACGAGGGUAUCCUAGUGGCGAACGGGUGAGUAACGCGUUGGUGACCUGCCCCGACGUGUGGGAUAACAGUCCGAAAGGACUGCUAAUACCGCAUGCGGCCAUCGGGUUUAGAAACCGAUGUCCAAAGCAGCAAUGCGCUUUGGGAGGGACCUGCGUCCCAUCAGCUAGUUGGUAGGGUAACGGCCUACCAAGGCUACGCAGGGAAGGGGACCUGGGAGGGUGACCCCCCACAAUGGAACAGAAAUACGGUCCAUACACCUACGGGUGGCAGCAGUAGGGAAUAUUGCACAAUGGGCGAAAGCCUGAUGCAGCAACGCCGCGUGCACGAUGAAGGUCUUCGGAUCGUAAAGUGCUUUUCUGGGAGAUGAGAAAGGACGGUAUCCCAGGAAUAAGUCUCGGCUAACUACGUGCCAGCCGCCGCCGUAAUAC
rnacentral:rRNA from 1 species